GCCCCGCCUGCCACCCCGCUCAUGCCUCAAGUGCGACAUGUUUUUUGUUCGCAAUAGCUGCUCUAGUACGUAGUACUUACUACCUCAGUGCACAUAGUAAAA